GAUGAAGAACGUAGCGAAAUGCGAUACUUGGUGUGAAUUGCAGAAUCCCGUGAACCAUCGAGUCUUUGAACGCAAGUUGCGCCCGAAGCCAUUAGGCCGAGGGCACGCCUGCCUGGGCGUCACACGUCGUUGCCCCCCCAUCUACUCCUUCGGGAUUGCGGGGGGCGGAUGAUGGCCUCCCGUGCGCCUCGUCGCGCGGUUGGCAUAAAUACCAAGUCCUCGGCGACGCACGCCACGACAAUCGGUGGUUGCGAAACCUCGGUGGCCCGUCGUGUGCGGUCGUCGCGCAUCGAGGGCUCGAAAAAAUUGCCGGGCUCCGGCUCGGCUUUCAACGCGACCCCAGGUCAGGCGGGGUUACCCGCUGAAUUUAAGCAUAUCAAUAAGCGGAGGA
rnacentral:misc_RNA from 1 species